CGCGCAGGCGGCCAAGUCAGUCGAAUGUGAAAGCCCCCCGGCUCAACUGGGGAAGGUCGUUCGAUACUGCUUGGCUCGAAGAUAGGAGAGGGAAGUGGAAUUUCAGGUGUAGUGGUGAAAUGCGUAGAUAUCUGAAGGAACACCAGUGGCGAAGGCGACUUUCUGGCCUAUUCUUGACGCUGAGGCGCGAAAGCUAGGGGAGCGAACG
rnacentral:rRNA from 1 species